rnacentral:misc_RNA from 1 species
AACGCACAUUGCGCCCGCCAGUAUUCUGGCGGGCAUGCCUGUCCGAGCGUCAUUUCAACCCUCAAGCCCCCGGGCUUGGUGUUGGAGACCGGCGAGCCCUCCGGGGCACGCCGCCUCCCAAAUUUAGUGGCGGUCUCGCUGUAGCUUCCUCUGCGUAGUAGCACACCUCGCACUGGGAAACAGCGUGGCCACGCCGUAAAACCCCCCACUUCUGAAAGGUUGACCUCGGAUCAGGUAGGAAUACCCGCUGAACUUAA